UCUUUUAGCUUUAAAAACAAAACAAGGAGGGAAUUUUUGUUAACCACUGUUCCCUGAGACCCUGUUAAAUGAUAGAAAGCAAUAAAAAGGUAUUGAAAGCAAUAGAGACACCAGCAAGUUUCUGGAAGAUGGAAAACAGAGUGGAGGCAUGGUCAUUAAUUCAGCAGAGCAAAGGGCACCAAACCAUUUACUUCAGUGUUUUCAUCUGUGGAUGGGAAAUCGGCUGAGAAGCAGAAAGGCUCAAGGAUUGGAGACACCAAGACAUCACAGAGAGUACAAGUAAGAGGCAAUGCUGUAAACAGGAGAAACAGUCUACAUUCAGUGAAGCUGAACCUUCAGUUCCCCAUACCCACGCUGGAUGACUUCCUCAGUUCCACCCCAGGAGAAAUGAGAAAAGCUAGAGAAGCCUGGGUCUCUGGUAUCUGAACUAACAACAUCAGACACAGCAGAGAGCAGAGCUGAAAUGCUAAAAUGAAAACAAAGGGACUCAAAGAAGGCUCACAUACAAAAGAGUGAGAUUCCUCUCAGCCUCUUUGCCUGCAGGUCCCAGAGUGCCAGCAGCCAGACUUCUACUGUCCAGACUGGAGACCAGAGGAUCUUCCACUGGAGGAAUGAGCUGCCCAAGUGAAAAAGAUCUACAAUCACUGACAUACAGAGAGCGGUACAAUACUAAGUGUCAUGGAUACCCAGAAUCAAGGUGGUAGUCCCAGUUGGCCGUGUGACCUCAGGUGAGCACACCUGAGGAGAAAACACAGAAAGAGCAGGAAGAAGGGUACCAAAGACAGCGUUGUGUUUUGGAAUUUGUCCUCCUUGGCCCUGAUGAUGGAACUGAACCUUUGUGCCCUGCGUUGUAAACAUGGAGUCUUAACUACUGGAUUGCCAGAGAAGUCCCACCAUUCAUUUUUGUGCUGCAUAACCUCUAUCACAUGCUGGUCCAUGGAGCCCAGUGGCCAGCUGUCCACCAAUAGAGGGAAAGCUACUUCUGGUGCCUGUCUAUGAGCCAUUGCUUAUACGUUUGCCUUUGGUCAGUUUUUUGGUCAGAC